GGAGAGGUGGCUCAGCGGUUAAGAGCACUGACUGCUCUUCCAGAGGUCCUGAGUUCAAUUCCCAGCAACUACA
rnacentral:tRNA from 1 species